AUGAGUUAAAUUAUUAUGAUAUGUAUAUUAAUUUAUUACUUAACACAUUUUAAUUCUCAAAGUUGUUACCAAAUGAGUACUAUAUAAAGAACUUGAACAUCGUUAUGCAUUUUCCUAGAACAAAAGAAAAUAGAGUUGUAAGAAAAUCUUGAAACAAAAAUGGCAAAGCUCAUUUGCCAAUCUCUUCUAUUGGGACUUUUAUGCAUUGCGUUGGUCAUUGUUUCAGGAGCAACACUGGAUUUCGGUACAGGUUAUCAAUGCGUUGAGAUAUGCACUAAUGAUUGUCCUGUAACGUGCAAGCUUAAGGGAUAUCGUAGUGGAACUUGUCUUGGACUGUUUUGUUGUUGUGCAAUGUAGAAUUACUCCUAUAGUCCUAUGUAAUCAAGAGCAAUGGAGCAUUCGAUCAGUCUCAAAUGAAUAGAUUCUAUGGGAAGCUAAAAUAAAUAAGCGAUCAUGCAGUAAUAAAUUGGGAGUAAGAGUUGUUUGCAUUUGAAUAUUAUGUAUUGUACUAGUUUUGAAUAUGAGUUAAUUGCAUGUCUCUAAAAUGUGAAAUAUCAAUCAAUAAAUAGGAGGUUUAGUGGUGA